UACGGGGGGAGCAAGCUUGUUCGGAUUUACUGGGCGUAAAGGCUCGUAGGCGGCCAACUAAGUCAGGGGUGAAAUCCCGGGGCUCAACCUCGGAACUGCCUUUGAUACUGGGGAUCUCGAGUCCGGGAGAGGUGAGUGGAACUGCGAGUGUAGAGGUGAAAUUCGUAGAUAUUCGCAAGACACCAGUGGCGAAGGCGGCUCACUGGCCCGGAACUGACGCUGAGGUGCGAAAGCGUGGGA
rnacentral:rRNA from 1 species